AAUGAACGCUGGCGGCGCGCCUAAUACAUGCAAGUCGAGCGAGAAGACGUAGCAACACGUUUGUAAAGCGGCGAACGGGUGAGGAAUACAUGGGGUAACCUACCCUAGAGUGGGAGUAACUAGCCGAAGGUUAGCUAAUACCGCGUACGCUCCUUGGACUUCGGUUCAGGGAGGAAAGACGAUGCCGAGGGUAUCGCGCUCUUGGAUGGGCUCAUGUCCUAUCAGCUUGNGGUUGAGGUAACGGCUCACCAAGG
rnacentral:rRNA from 1 species